UACAUUCUUAGGGUACUACCUUACUUGAACAGGAUCUGUUCUAUAGGCUCGUACUUCUGUGUCCUUGAGUAUAAAGGAGACAAGAACCACAACUUGGAUGAUGACUGAAGAUCGCGUGACCAGAGCGUGAGUACUGGUCGGCUGCUCCAACCUGUUUGGCUCAACUUGGCCGCAGAGGAUCGUUCCCGUGGGGCUAGCCCCCAUGGGAUGGUCGCGUGAUUGUCUUGACAGGUUCUCAAAUGUUUUUAUUACGGACCACCGCUUGAAAAACCAUUGAUGUCGACCUCUAUGAAGGUGCUUAUCAAAUCUCAGCCUCCGGUGAGCGCCGGAGAUCGACGGCGAUGACCACCCUCAAAGACCAGUGACGGUGGCUACGAAAGGUGCUUGAGAGGAGAUUGCUUCGAAUGGAGCGAGGGGGGUUAUAGUUGAAGAGAUAUAUCUCAGACUGUUUUCUUCAUCUUGUUUGCAUUAUCUGGUGGCAUUGUUGGUGAUUGUGAUUUGAGUUCUUCCAUUUGCUGGACCUCUUCUCGUCGUACACUGGGUAACAACCUAGUUGCCAAGGGCACAUGUCCAGCUUGCAGAACGCAAUUCGCUGGCUACAAGAACCGAAUAAUUAGAUGUACAAGCUAUGGCAACCCAAAGGAGAUUUCUUCUUUAAGGAAGGAAGAAGAACAUCCUCUUCUAAAUCAGAUCCUGAUAUAAUUGAUGUUGACUUUGAGGAGAAUUGAAGAGAUGCAUGGUCAGCAUUUAUGAUGAUUCUGGACUUCACAGUGGAAAGAUACAGCAAAUUGGCUACACAGUGCUCCUGUUUGUUUAUUUGUAGUGUACUUGAUUCUGUUAGAUUGAGUUUUGGUUCUUUACACAGUGCCUUAAGUGCUUAGUGGGUUUGUUCAUGGACUUGUAAAAUCUUUAUUGAUACUACGAGUCUAUUGAUUAGAUGAGAGAGAGAAAUGCAAAUUGAUGUGAAUCAUAUUUUACAUGCCUUGUUGCAACCUUGAAUGUAUAGAAAUAAUCUGUUGCCCUCAAAUGUUUUGUCAUUUUUCUUUAAAUUUCAAUAGGAAUGGUGUUGUUAA